CUUUGCAGUGGGAAUAUGAGGACAGACAAACCCCCUACAGUGAUGGUUUUGGCUGGGAUAGAGAGAGUAUUUCUGUAAGAAGCUGGAAGGCAGCACAGCCAGGAAAGCUGACCCAACCUGGACAAAGGGAUCUUCUAUACCACAGAAUGUCAUGCUCAGCACAUAAACUGGAGGAAUUUGGCCAGGAGACACUGCUGCUUUGGAGCAGGCAUGGCAUCCAUCAGCUGGUGUUCUACAGAAGGAAAUUAUCAUGCAAGAACAACCCUGGGUGUUGUAAUCUGCCAUCUGCUUUAGAAAUGUGCGAGGAGAAAAUUAUCAUGAAGAAUGAUUUGAAGA